AUUUAGGGGCCAAAGAUUGGGGAGGUUUCAACUUCAACCCUAGCUCUUCCUUCUUUCCCACCCUCAAGAAACCCCAUAGAUUUUAGGUUACCUCUCCCUUGCCCUAACUCUCAGUCACUUUUUUCAUUGUUUUUAUGCCAAUUCAAAGGGUUUUUCUUCUUCUUUUGAAAUGUUUGAAAAAACCCACCGUUUAUUUCCCUUUCCCUCUCCUUGUUAUUUGAUUAUGACAUUGAACCUUGUUUUUUUGGCUUGAGAUUUCCCCAUAAAUACCUCCCUUUCCCUUUCUCCCCAUCCAUCCUUAUUCACCAAAUGCUAUAUUUCUAACCUUUUAGUAUAAGGGUUUGAAGAUGAAGAAGAAGAUGACGGUGAUGAUGAUGAUGAUCAUCAUCAUCAUCCCAAAGCAUUGCACUCUCCAUCCAUUUUUUUUCAUUCAAAACAUAAUACCAUGACAUGCUACCAUGCAUAUUUGUUACAUCAUCAUCAACAUGACAUCCAUGUAUGUAUGUGCCUGGCUCCCUGUAUGCCAUUUGCAGAGCCCAUUGAACUUCGAUAGCCUCCGUGAAUGGCGUAUGAGGAGCCAUGCAUGUAUUCUAUGUAUUUCAUAUUUAUAUAUGUAUUCCAUGUAUUUUACACAUAUAUAUGAUAUACAUAUAUGUAUGUAUAUCAAUGAAUAUUCUUCUUUUGCAGGCUUUUCUUUACUCCUUUGCUUGCUUUCCGGCCUGAAGGACACCAUUUUUCUGGUCUUCUAUUUUUCCCCUACUUCUCUAAGAAUCAAAAGAGAAUAAAAACAUUAAAGACCUUUUGGGAAGAUUUUGAUUUCUUUUUUUCAUUAAUUACCAAGUUUCCAUGUAAAUAUUAUGAGCUAAAUAUCAAAUUACGCCGCUUUUGUAAGAAAA